GAUCAACAGAAUUAUAAAGAUGGACUAUUUGGCAUGGCUUGGAUUACAUACUUAUCCCUGAACACGUCAGUAGGGAACAGGAGACACGAAUCUGUCAUUAGGACCCCUCGAGAUAAUCAUAUAUGGUCGAAGUGUGGGAGAAAUAUUUCCCCCCAAAAGGGAAUUUGGUCUCAGAGAAUGAGUACUCAGGAUAUAAACCACAGUCCUUAGUCUUAGACAACAAUUUUAAAGAUAAAAAAGAAUCCAUUGUGUGUGUGUACGAAUGAAAUUGGAUCCUGGAAGUCAAGGAGACCCAAGAAAGCAUGAUAUAUCAGAGGAGCCAGAAGGACCAAACGGAGCUGGUGUACAGGACGUUACAAAGUGUUAAGAGAUGAGAUGCUGAAAAAGCCCUGGGGCUGAUAGAGGAUCCAGAUGGAAACAGCUCAAGCCAUCCACUGACCAAAACACCCUUGAAGUUCAUUGAGUUGGUGAAAUAUAAACUUCUAUGUUUUAAUCCA